AGGCUUUCGGGACGGCGGCGGGAAGAUGGCGGCCCCCAAGGGCCGGCUUGAACCCGUGGAGCCAGAGGGGAACGCGGGUCGCCAGGGGAGCUCUGGAGUGGAGGUGGUGUUUCCCUCCGAUCCCGCCACCCCCGCCCCGCUGUGCCCUCACGGACCCACUCUUCUGUUUGUGAAGGUGAACCAAGGGAAAGAAGAAACACGGAGGUUUUAUGCCUGCUCAGCCUGUAGAGAUAGAAAAGACUGUAAUUUUUUUCAAUGGGAAGAUGAAAAGCUGUCAGAAGCUAGACUUGCUGCCCGAGAAGCUCACAACCGAAGAUGUCAGCCUCCUCUAUCCCGAACGCAGUGUGUGGAAAGGUACUUGAAGUUUAUUGAGUUGCCCUUGUCUCAGAGAAAGUUUUGUCAAAGGUGUCAGCAGUUGCUCUUACCAGACGACUGGGAGAAGCAUGGUGAGCAUCCGGUGGUGGGUGAUAUUUCCAUCACCCAGUUAAAAAGGCCCAGUCAACUCCUGUAUCCACUGGAAAACAAGAAGACAAAUGCCCAGUAUUUGUUUGCUGAUAGGAGCUGUCAGUUCUUGGUAGACCUACUUUCUACCCUUGGAUUCAGAAGAGUACUAUGUGUUGGAACACCAAGGUUGCAUGAGCUGAUCAGGUUGAAAGCAUCAGGUGACAAGAAGUCUAACAUUAAAAGCCUUUUGUUGGAUAUUGAUUUUCGGUAUUCACAGUUUUAUAUGGAAGAUAGCUUUUGCCAUUAUAACAUGUUUAACCAUCACUUCUUUGAUGGAAAGGCUGCCCUUGAAGUAUGCAGAACAUUUUUACAGGAAGAUAAAGGUGAAGGAGUCAUUAUGGUGACAGAUCCUCCUUUUGGUGGCUUGGUUGAACCUCUGGCUAUUACAUUCAAGAAGUUAAUUGCUAUGUGGAAAGAAGGUCAAAGCCAAGAUAACAGUCACAAAGAACUACCCAUUUUCUGGAUUUUCCCCUAUUUUUUUGAAUCCCGAAUUUGUCAGUUUUUUCCAAGCUUCUGCAUGCUGGAUUACCAGGUCGAUUAUGAUAAUCAUGCACUUUAUAAACAUGGAAAGACAGGUCGGAAACAGUCUCCUGUGCGUAUUUUCACCAAUAUUCCACCCAACAAAAUAAUCCUUCCUAUUGAAGAAGGGUAUAGAUUUUGCCCUCUGUGUCAACGAUAUGUUUCCCUAGAGAAUCAACACUGUGAGCACUGUAAUUCUUGCACAUCCAAGGAUGGCAGGAAAUGGAACCAUUGCUUUCUCUGCAAAAAGUGUGUAAAGCCUUCCUGGAUCCACUGUAGCAUUUGCAAUCACUGUGCUCUUCCAGAUCAUUCUUGCGAGGGCCCUAAAGACGGCUGCUUUGUUUGUGGUGAAUUAGAUCAUAAACGUAGUACUUGCCCUAACAUCUCUACAUCUAAGAAAGUUAACAAAGCUGUCAGAAAGCAGAAGCAAAGAAAAAGUAAUAAGAUGAAAAUGGAGACCACUAAAGGACAAUCCAUGAAUCAUACAUCUGUUACAGGGAAGAAGAAAAGGAAAGAAAGAGCCCAUCAAUAUCCUUGCUCUUAAAUGUCCAGUGACUUGAGAAUAAGAAAGAUUUAUAGUCCAGCCUUUGAUGCCAUUUUCUGAAAGUGCCACACGGGACUUAAAUUCUGUCGCUUUCAGAGAUUAGAAGCUUGUUGAUGGCAGGGGCCUAUGGACAUCAUUAUGUGUGUUCACUGGCUCCUAGAGAUGUGCCCUGCACACAGUGAUAUUAUAGAGACAACCAACGGCAGCACGUAUGACCUCAUUCCUCCUCCCACAACCUUGGGAAGCGGGCAGCCAGGCUAGCACAUUUCUUCACCCUCCAAGUAGUAGCUGCUCAUAAAUACAGAUUGAGUGAAUAGAAGUACCAUUUAAUAUACCACUUUAUGCCUCAAAACCCUAACAGCUAUGUGAGUAAGAAGCUAAAACGCUUAGAGCUGCCUAGGUAAGCAAAGCUUGCUCAAAAUGCAAAGGGAAAUCUAAUGUCACUUAUUUGAUUUGAUUUUAAUUGAAACAUUAGGACAUAGGUUAAAUUACUUGAGGGUCAGCUAAGAAGGUCGUUGCAAUAAAGUGAAGAUAAGAUCUCUACUGUUUGAUUUCAGGCGAUUUAGUAUAAAUGUUAACUCAGCAAGACUGAGGGAAAAAAGCAUCAAAAGUGAGCAAGCAGCUCUCAGAGCUCUGAGCUGAGUUUUAUCCCUGGACAUUAGCUGGACAGUCACAAGAUUCUCACGUUGUUUAGUUGCUUAAUACCCCUGCAGACUAGAAGUGUAACAUCUGGUGGUCUCUCAGAAACUAAGCCUGAGUAGAUGGGCCAGUUUCUUCAUCUGCAAACAUGGAGGCGAGGAGUGGGAGAAAACUAGAGAUAGCCUGAACAUUCCACAUGCUUAAAGAGGACAAAGGAAACUAAAGGUGCUACCUAGUAACUGUACAAUUAAUACAUGAGCCAGGUAAAUCAAAGAAAAUGAAAAGCAACUCUAAUCCUACCACCCAGAGGUAACCACUGUCACAACUUCUGUGUAUGUUCUGUCAGAUAGUCUUGUCUAAAUAGCUAUACAGACAGACACACUCUAAAAUUCCCCCACAAAAAUGGAAUGGUAAAUACAUACUGUUUUGUAAUCCUCUCCUUUUUAGAAACAUGUUGUGAACAUCGUUUUAUAUCUACCACAAUAGUAGUAUUCUUCAGUAUCGAUGUACCAUAUUUAAAAAAAAAUUAAUCUGUGGUUGGACAUCUAAGUUGUUUGUAUUUUUUCCCUAUUGUAAAUGACUCUAUGAUGAACAUACUUAAAACCAAAUCUUUUCUUAUUUCCUUAGGAUUGUAGGGGAGGAAGACAAAUCCUCUACCCUCUAGGUCCUUCUGGCUGGGCUAUGAAUUAAAUUCACGUGAGACAAUAACAGAGAGAAUCAAACAAAGCUUUAUAACAUGUAUACAUGGGAGAAACUCAGGAAAACUGAGCAACUCAGCCAUCUAGCC